GACGAACGCUGGCGGCGUGCUUAACACAUGCAAGUCGAACGGAAAGGCCCUGCUUUUGUGGGGUGCUCGAGUGGCGAACGGGUGAGUAACACGUGAGUAACCUGCCCUUGACUUUGGGAUAACUUCAGGAAACUGGGGCUAAUACCGGAUAGGAGCUCCUGCUGCAUGGUGGGGGUUGGAAAGUUUCGGCGGUUGGGGAUGGACUCGCGGCUUAUCAGCUUGUUGGUGGGGUAGUGGCUUACCAAGGCUUUGACGGGUAGCCGGCCUGAGAGGGUGACCGGACACAAUGGGACUGAGAUAGGGCGCAGACUCCCACGGGAGGCAGUAGGGGGGAAUAUUGCACAAUGGGCGGAAGCGUGAUGCAGCAACGCCGCGUGCGUGAUGACGGCCUUCGGGUUGUAAACCGCUGUCGACUGUGACGAAGCGUGAGUGACGGUAAUGGGUAAAGAAGCACCGGCUAACUACGUG
rnacentral:rRNA from 1 species